rnacentral:rRNA from 1 species
UACGGAGGGUGCGAGCGUUAAUCGGAAUAACUGGGCGUAAAGGGCACGCAGGCGGGUUUGUAAGUGAGAUGUGAAAUCCCCGGGCUCAACCUGGGAACUGCGUUUUGAACUGGCGGACUAGAGUGUGUCAGAGGUGGGUAGAAUUCCACGUGUAGCAGUGAAAUGCGUAGAGAUGUGGAGGAAUACCGAAGGCGAAGGCAGCCGCUUGGGAAUGUACUGACGCUCAUGUGCGAAAGCUUGGGGAGCAAACGGG